rnacentral:tRNA from 1 species
GGGGAUAUGGCUCAGUUGGUAGAGUACUUGCCUUGCAUGCACAUUGCCCUGGGUUCAAUCCCCAGCACCACUU